rnacentral:lncRNA from 1 species
CCCUCAAUAACAAAGAGAAACUGAUGGUGCAGUGGCAAGUACCCUGAAAUUAAGUUGUACGUCACCGGUUCGAAUCCCAGUGAAAGCGUUUUAUUUUUUUCUUAUUCAGUUUCAGUUUUUUUUAGUUUUUUUUUUAAUUUUCAGUUCUGUUUUUCAAUUUCUGUAGAUAUAUAUAUUUUGAACCCCCUCAAUAACAAAGAGAAACUGAUGGUGCAGUGGCAAGUACCCUGAAAUUAAGUUGUACGUCACCGGUUCGAAUCCCAGUGAAAGCGUUUUAUUUUUUUCUUAUUCAGUUUCAGUUUUUUUUAGUUUUUUUUUAAUUUUCAGUUCUGUUUUUCAAGUUUUUUUUAGUUUUUUUUUACUUUAAAAAAUGUGCUAAAAGUUUGGUUUUAAACCCAAAAGAAUUCAAGGUUUCCAU